CCUGGGGGAAGGUGGUGAGCAUUUAAGAAGAAAGGCCUUCGGUAAAAGGGAUUUAAAGCAGACCUGCGCUGGGCUGCCCACCUGCCUGUGUGAGGCUGACUGAGCAAGAGGAGACUUGAGGAAGAGGCAGAUUCAUGUGUUUUAUCUGCAUGUUUGUAUGAGUGCCUGGUGGCGUCAGGGAUCAGAAGAGGGUGUUGGAUCUUCUAGAAUGGAGUUAUGGAUGGUUGUGAGCCACAUUGCGGGAGUCAGGAACAGACUUCAGGUCCUCUGCAAGAACAAGUGCUCUGGACUGCUGAGCUCCUCUCCAGGGUAAUGUUAACGUCUGCUCUGCCUGGGACUACAGACAGUUGCCAACACACAUGGUUUAAGACCAAGGGCCUCACCUAUGCUAGCAUCCUGCCUGCAGGUUCCUGCCGUGCUUGAGUUCCUGUCCUGACUUCCUUCAUCCAUGGACUACAGUGCGGAAGUGUAAGGCGAAUAAACCCUCUCCUCCCCACCCUGCUUUCCGUUACAGGUAGAAACCCGGAGACCCCAGAACCCUGUGGGGCUUCAAUGACAGAGCAGAUUGUGGGAGGAACUGACUGCAGGAGACAAAAGAGAUUCCUCAGCUCCGCCUGCCCCUGGGGGACUCUGCCGCUCCCCAACAUUCUGGAACCCGAGGGUCUAGGGAGCCCUCCAAAGUCAAGGCAGAGCUUGGUGUCAGUGUGGUUAACUUUGAUUGUAACGUGACAGGUUCUAGAACAGUGAUUCUCAACCUGUGAGUCGCGACCCCUAUGAGGCCGCAUGACAGGUAUUUACAUUACGGUUUAUGACGGCUGCAAAAUUACAGUUAUGAAGUGGGAACAGAUGGUGCUAUGGUCGGGGCCAGCGCAGCAUGAGGACCUGGAUUAAAGGGUCGCAGCAUCAGGAAGGCUGGGAACCAAAGGCAGGCAGAAAGUCAGAGAGCGCGGGGAUUCCUCACUCACUGAACCCUCAGACUGUAGCCACAACAAACACUUAUUCCCCUGAGCUGCAGCUUCCUGCUUUUGGUCCUGUGCCCCCGCCCCCAGGAUGGUGCUUCCUACCUUGGGUUGUUUUUCCUUCCUCCCUUAACCAGUCUCCAAAGUUCCUCACAGACACACCAGGUAACUAACCCAGAGGAUUCUAGAUGGUUCUCAACCUUCCUAAUACUGUGCCCCUCUGAUCUCUGGACUUCCAGGGCUUCUGUGAUGUCCUGGGGGCACAGCAGUUAGCUUUCUCAGAUUUUCCCAUCAUGCACUAGUGG